GAAGCCUUGUCUGCGUCCUCCAGGGCCCACCUGUACCUCUGCUGAUUAGUGAGCAGUCACAGCCCCAAUUAGAGAACAGAGGAACCUGGAGAGACAACACUCUUUAUUUAAUUGGAUUGUGUUGCAGUCGGAGGCUUCUCACCGGCAACAUAGUUCUCCCCUGCAGUAACAUGUGGCGCAAAACAAAGACAUCACGGCUGUUGUGUGGACUGGUGCUCCACCACCAGAUGCCUAAGGGACACUCGCUGGCUGCUCUGUGCUGCCAGGAUCCAGACAGUCCACUCUCUUUCUUUGCAGUCAGUCAGACACCCUCAACUCCCCAACUCCCACAGCCCCCGUCACUCCCGCCUCUGUCUAAUUACCAAACCUAAAACCCCACUCAACUAAUUAGCCACAGCAGACCCAGGAACUGUGAGUAAAGGUAAAGAGAUGGCUUCAUUCAGAAGUGUGUGCGCGUGGGAGCUAGAUUGUGUGUGACAGAGACAAGAAAGAAGGUGAAAUGGAAUAUUUGAGCCUCCUUAAAAGGAGCACAUCUCUACAGCCAAUUAAAGUCAUUUAUUAAACUCUGCAAAAGCUGCUGAGUUGGACUGUC